rnacentral:rRNA from 1 species
AUGCUUUCUUGUAGCGUGACCACUUUUCCCAUCCCCUACCUCGGGCUACCCUUAUCGAUCCGCAAGACCCAUGCAACGGCGCUCCUCCCGCUUGUGGACCGCUUGAUCAAAAAGCUUGCAACUUGGAAAGCUACUCUACUCUCGCUGGCUGAGAGACUGGCCCUUGUUCGAGAUGUGCUCAUGGCCAUGCCCGGACACAUCCUGCUCGCCAUGUCCAUAAACCCUCCAAUCCUCAAGAAGAUCACCAGGGUGGUCCGCGACUUCCUGUGGCACGGGCGCAAGGACACCAAGGCCGGCUGCUGCCUUGUCAGCUGGCCGAAGAUCUCCCGGCCGUUGAAGCUCGGCGGGCUUGCUGUGCAUGACCUCCACCGCACUGGGAUCGCGUUGCGGGCGCGUUGGCUUUGGCUGCAGGCCACCGAUCCCGAUCGCCCAUGG